UGUGGGAGCGAGCCUGCUCGCGAUAACGGUCUGUCAGUAGACAUUGAUGUGGCUGACCAGACGCCAUCGCGAGCAGGCUCGCUCCCACA
rnacentral:misc_RNA from 1 species